GGCCUGUAGUAAAGCUUUUACAGGUUUAACCUGCCCGGUGGGGAGUUUAACGGCCGCAGUAUUCUGACUGUGCUAAGGUAGCGUAAUCAUUUGCCUUUUAAUUGGUGGCUAGUAUGAAUGGUUGGUCAAGGGCUAUACUGUCUCUAAUAAAUUAAUUAAAAGUUACUUCUAGGUGAAGAAGCCUAGAUAUUGAAGAAAGACGAGAAGACCCUAGUGUGCUUUAAUUUUCUUAUAAUUAUAUUAUACUAAGAGAGUUUUUGCUGGGACGACGAGGGAAUGCUAGAGCUUCCUAAAUAUAUACGAAAAAUAUUCUUUUCUAAUGAUAAUGAAAACAGUAACCAUAGGGGUAACAGACUAAUUUCCUUCGAGAGUACACAUUAACAAGGAAGAUUGGCACCUCGAUGUUGGCUUAAGGAUACAACUAUGGAGUAGAAGUCUAGUAUGUGGGCUUGUUUCAGCCUUUAAAUCUUA
rnacentral:rRNA from 1 species